rnacentral:lncRNA from 1 species
GGGUGGGGAGGAGGGUGGAUCCCGGGCCCCGGGAGGGAGGGAGGGCGCUGCCGGGGCCUCGGGAGCCGCGGGGAAGCCGCCCAGGGAAGGGCGGGGGCGGCGGGCUGGGUCCCCGCCCGGCGCCCGCUUACCUUGGCCGCCGUGGCCUGGGCGCAGGUCGAGCUGCAGCCGGCGCGCAGGUUAGAGGCGGGGCGGGGGCGGGGGCGGGGGGCACUGCCGCGGGGCUCGGGCGGCCGGGGGCACGGGGAGCGCAGCCGCGGGGCCGGCGGGCGCGGCUGGAGACGCGGUUAGAGACGCGGCUAGAGACGCGCGGCGCUGCGGAGGCCCCCUCGGCGCCCGAUGCGCGGUAGCGCAGCGCACUUCAUCGCCUUCUCCUCCCGCCGCACCCCUCCCUCCCCGCCGGCUCCGCGGGGGGCACCCCGCUCCCCGAGCCAACCACGAGCCCAGCUCGCGCUCCUUAGCGCUGCCCCGCCCUGCAGCCUCCGCGCACCCCCGCCCCGGCCCGCCCCCCCCCCCCCCCCCCCCCGCAGACAGCGAUCCCGCGCCCGGCCGGCCCCUGCUUCCCACGCCCGCGGGCGUCCCGGCUCGGCAGCACCAGCCCGGCCCGCUGGGCCCCUUUGUGUCGGUGCAGGCGGCGUGUUCAGGAAGGAUCUGGCGUAGCCGCCCCAGGACGGACAGGUGCCCUGGGGCUCUGGCCUUACACACUUCCCCCACCUGCCCUCGACGCGGGCACCGCCGUCCGCACCCGCCUGGGCACCGACCCGUGUGCCUGCACCACAGACGCACGACGCGUUUGCGAUCGCGAACGCAAAUGGUGCAAAUGACUCUCCAGAAAAUCUGUUGUUGGGCAAGACUAGCUUUCCACCCGGGUUUUAUAGGACACCGCUCGCUGUGGCAGGAUGCUAGAACGCAAAGGAAGCAACGAAUAAACCCCCUCCUUGCACAGCCAACCAGGACGCAUGGAGAACUGAAAUUUCUCAAAAGCAAAAGACUUGGAAGAUGUGAAGGCACCUUCUCCAGCUGGACUCCUCUGUCCAAGGAGGCACACGUCGUCAGGCCUUCCCUAUCCCCGUUCCACCAGGGCUGGGGGUGGAACUCCUCCUUUCCUGACAGACACUGUCUUGCCUGA